UAGGGAAUCUUCGGCAAUGGACGAAAGUCUGACCGAGCAACGCCGCGUGAGUGAAGAAGGUUUUCGGAUCGUAAAACUCUGUUGUUAGAGAAGAACAAGGACGUUAGUAACUGAACGUCCCCUGACGGUAUCUAACCAGAAAGCCACGGCUAACUACGUGCCAGCAGCCGCGGUAAUACGUAGGUGGCAAGCGUUGUCCGGAUUUAUUGGGCGUAAAGCGAGCGCAGGCGGUUUCUUAAGUCUGAUGUGAAAGCCCCCGGCUCAACCGGGGAGGGUCAUUGGAAACUGGGAGACUUGAGUGCAGAAGAGGAGAGUGGAAUUCCAUGUGUAGCGGUGAAAUGCAAGAUAUAUGGAGGAACACCAGUGGCGAAGGCGGCUCUCUGGUCUGUAACUGACGCUGAGGCUCGAAAGCGUGGGGAGCAAACAGG
rnacentral:rRNA from 1 species